rnacentral:misc_RNA from 1 species
UUGAUCUGUCUCAGGUCUUGGACUGG